GUAUGCCUACGGGAGGCAGCAGUGGGGGAUAUUGCACAAUGGGGGAAACCCUGAUGCAGCGACGCCGCGUGGGUGAAGAAGCGCCUCGGCGCGUAAAGCCCUGUCAGCAGGGAAGAAAAUGACGGUACCUGAAGAAGAAGCCCCGGCUAACUACGUGCCAGCAGCCGCGGUAAUACGUAGGGGGCGAGCGUUAUCCGGAUUUACUGGGUGUAAAGGGAGCGCAGGCGGCGUGGCAAGUCAGAUGUGAAAACCCGGGGCCCAACCCCGGGACUGCAUUUGAAACUGCCAUGCUGGAGUGCCGGAGG
rnacentral:rRNA from 1 species